rnacentral:rRNA from 1 species
CGGCGGACGGGUGAGUAACGCGUGGGUAACCUGCCUCAUACAGGGGGAUAACAGUUGGAAACGGCUGCUAAUACCGCAUAAGCGCACAGUACCGCAUGGUACGGUGUGAAAAACUCCGGUGGUAUGAGAUGGACCCGCGUCUGAUUAGGUAGUUGGUGGGGUAACGGCCUACCAAGCCGACGAUCAGUAGCCGACCCGAGAGGGUGACCGGCCACAUUGGGACUGAGACACGGCCCAA